rnacentral:rRNA from 1 species
GACGAACGCUGGCGGCGUGCUUAACACAUGCAAGUCGAACGGAAAGGCCCUGCUUUUGUGGGGUGCUCGAGUGGCGAACGGGUGAGUAACACGUGAGUAACCUGCCCUUGACUUUGGGAUAACUUCAGGAAACUGGGGCUAAUACCGGAUAGGAGCUCCUGCUGCAUGGUGGGGGUUGGAAAGUUUCGGCGGUUGGGGAUGGACUCGCGGCUUAUCAGCUUGUUGGUGGGGUAGUGGCUUACCAAGGCUUUGACGGGUAGCCGGCCUGAGAGGGUGACCGGCCACAUUGGGACUGAGAUACGGCCCAGACUCCUACGGGAGGUAGCAGUGGGGAAUAUUGCACAAUGGGCGGAAGCCUGAUGCAGCAACGCCGCGUGCGGGAUGACGGCCUUCGGGCUGUAAACCGCUUUCGCCUGUGACGAAGCGUGAGUGACGGUAAUGGGUAAAGAAGCACCGGCUAACUACGUG